CCGCAAGGCUAAAACCCAAAGGAAUUGACGGGGGCUUACACAAGCGGUGGAGCAUGUGGUUUAAUUCGAAACAACGCGCAAAACCUUACCAAUCCUUGACAUAUGAAAAACCAGGGUGUUUACCCGCUCUGUCUCUUUUAUACAGGUGCUGCAUGGCUGUCGUCAGUUCGUGGUGUGAGCUGUUGGGUUAAGUCCCAGAACGAACGCAACCCUCCUUUGAAAUGAAGGUUUACCUUUUUCAAAGACUGCCAAGGAUAUCCUGGAGGAAGGUGAGGAUGACGUCAAGUCCGCAUGGCCCUUAUGGGUUGGGCUACACACGUGCUACAAUGGGAAUGACAAAAGGAGGCAACAUGGCAACAUUGAGCAAAUCCCAAAAAGUUUCCUUAGUUCGGAUUGUUCUCUGCAACUCGAGAACAUGAAGUUGGAAUCGCUAGUAAUCGUAGAUCAGCACGCUACGGUGAAUUUGUAUCUAAGCCUUGUACACACCGCCCGUCACACUCUGAAAAUUUUCAUGCCUUGAAGCAAAAGAAGUUCACCAAGAACACACAGCGCAAUUAAAAAAAAACAUCUUCCCUUUUUUUUCUGUGUCUUUGUUGGAACCUUUUCUAGAGUUAGGGAGGUGAUUGGAGUG
rnacentral:rRNA from 1 species